CCGCACAAAAUGCCCGGUGAAGCCACAGAAACCAUCCCUGCUACAGAGCAGGAGUGGCCACAGCCCCAGGCUGAGACAGGGUCAGGAACAGAAUCCGACAGUGAUGAAUCAGUACCAGAGCUUGAGGAAAAGGAUUCCAUACAGGCAACCACACAAGUGCAGCUGGCAGCAGCAGCUGAAAUCGAUGAAGAACCAGUCAGUAAAGCAAAACAAAGUCGGAGUGAAAAGAAGGCUAGGAAGAUGAUGUCCAAACUGGGACUUCGACAAGUCACAGGGGUUACUAGAGUCACUAUCCGGAAAUCUAAAAAUAUCCUCUUUGUCAUCACAAAACCAGAUGUUUAUAAGAGCCCGCUUCAGAUACCUACAUAGUUUUUGGUGAAGCCAAGAUUGAGGACUUAUCUCAGCAAGCACUGCUAGCAGCUGCUGAGAAAUUCAAAGUUCAGGGGGAAGCUGUUUCAAACAUUCAAGAAAACACACAAACUCCAACUGUUCAAGAGGAGAGUGAAGAGGAAGAGGUUGAUGAAACAGGUGUUCUGUACCUAGGAUACGACUCUAGGGAGAAAGCCUCUUCCUCUUUUCUAGAGCUUGACUUUGGACAUCCAUGCCAGAGGCCGAGGAAAGCACCCACCACUUUGGAAUGCAGAGUAAAGGAAAGGAUGUAUUAUAAAUCAUAUUCCUCAGAAAUUUAA